AGGCUCCGCCCCCAAACGAAGCCCCGCCUCCCGCCGAUAAGCCACGCCCCCGCCGUAAUGCAGCAGCCCAUGCUGCUUCACAAGAUGGCUGCCUGACCCCCAGUGACAGGUAGGCUGGGGGGGGGGGAGAUGUACACACACACAUUGCCCCCAUACACACACACUGCCCCCAUACACACACAUUGCCCCCCAUACACACACAUUGCCCCCCCAUACACACACUGCCCCCAUACACCCAUACAUGCUCCCCAUAGACACACAUUGCCCCCAUACACACACAUUGCCCCCAUACACACACACUGCCCCCCACACACACAUUGCCCCAUACACACACAUUGCCCCAUACACACAUUGCCCCCACACACACACAUUGCCUCCAUACACACACAUUGCCCCCAUACACACACAUUGUCCCCAUACACACACAUUGUCCCCAUACACACACAUUGCCCCCCAUACUUUCCAUACACACACCCCCCAUACACACACACUUGCCCCCCAUACAGCCCCAUACACACUCAUUGCCCCCCAUACUGCUCCCCAUAGACACACAUUGCCCCCCAUACUGCCCCCCAUACACACAGACUGCCCCCCAUACACACACAUUGCCCCACACACUGCCCCCCAUACACACACUCUGCCCCCCCAUACACAUACACUCUACACACAUACACUAUCCCCAUACACACACACUGUAUGGACUCAGCAGUCUGUGUGUGUGUAUGGACUGAGCAGUCUGUGUGUGUGUGUGUGUGUAUGGACUCAGCAGUGUGUGUGUAUGGACUCAGCAGUCUGUGUGUGUGUGUGUGUGUGUGUAUGGACUCAGCAGUCUGUGUCUGUGUCUGUGUGUGUAUGGACUCGGCAGUCUGUGUGUGCAUAGACUCAGCAGUCUGUGUGUGUGUAUAGACUCAGCAGUCUGUGUGUGUAUAGACUCAGCAGUCUGUGUGUGUACGGACUCAGCAGAGUCUGUGUGUGUGUACGGACUCAGCAGAGUCUGUGUGUGUGUGUACGGACUCAGCAGAGUCUGUGUGUGUAUAGACUCAGCAGAGUCUGUCUGUGUAUGUGUGUGUGUGUGUGUGUGUGUGUGUAUGGACUCAGCAGUCUGUGUGUGUGUGUGUGUGUAUGGACUCAGCAAUCUGUGUGUGUAUGGACUCAGCAGUCUGUGUGUUUGUGUGUGGACUCAGCAGAGAGUGUGUGUUUGUGCACUCAGCAGUCUGUGUGUGUGUGUAUGGACUCAGCAGAGUGUGUCUGUUUGUGUGUAUGGACUCAGCAAAGUGUGUGUGUGUGUGUGUACGGACUCAGCAGAGUCUGUGUGUGUCUACGGACUCAGCAGAGUCUGUGUGUGUGUACGGACUCAGCAGAGUCUGUCUGUGUGUACGGACUCAGCAGAGUCUGUGUGUGUGUACGGACUCAGCAGUCUGUGUGUGUUUGUGUGGACUCAGCAGAGUCUGUGUGUGUGUGUAUGGACUCAGCAGAGUCUGUAUGUGUGUGUAUGGACUCAGCAGAGUCUGUGUGUGUGUGUAUGGACUCAGCAGAGUCUGUGUGUGUGUGUAUGGACUCAGCAAUCUGUGUGUGUGUGUGUGUGGACUCAGCAGUGUGUGUGUGUGUGUGUGUAUGGACUCAACAGUGUGUGUGUAUGGACUCAGCAGUCUGUGUGUGUGUAUGGACUCCGCAGUCUAUCAAUAAUUAAAAUUCCUGUGAGUUGUUGUGUAGGAAGGGCCCCAGUGUAUUGCUUUGCCCAGGGGCCCUUAACUCUGUUAAAAUGGUACUGCUUGUGUGUGUCAGUGAGCUUCUAUUUAGUGAGCAUGUGUGUGUCAGUGAGCUUGUUUUUAGUGAGCUUGUGUGUGUGUCCCUGAACUUCUUUGUAGUGAGCCUUCUGUUUAUACAAGUGAGUGUCUGUAGUAAGCUUGUGUGUGAGUCAGAGAGUUUUGUCUGUCAGUAAGCCUAUUUGCGCAUGUCAGUGAGCUUGUGUGCUUACUGUACUAUAUAUAUAUAUAUAUAUAUAUAUAUAUAUAUAUUGACUUGUAGGAAUGGCAUAUGUUUUUUUUCCAGGGCUGCUUUGGAUUUCCAGGGAUUCCCAGUUUGGCUCUGCCAGCGAGUGCACUUUACCACUGAAUAAUCUGUGUGAGCUGCCGCACACUUUAGCCCUGUUACACGCGUCUGGGAGCUGCUGUUGACAGG
rnacentral:lncRNA from 1 species